AAUAAAAAAUUAAAUAAAAACUCAACCCCAUGGUGGAAAAAGUUCCAAUCCUAUUAUACGUAUACCUAUUAUACAGAUACCUCCAACCCUAAGAACCCAAUCAUAUACUAACCCCUACUUCAAUGGUUCUACAUAUCCAUGUCCAUCUACAUAUAUGUAUCUAUGUAUAAUAUAAUAUUGAUGGGAUGUUGUGAAGAAGCCCACAGAAGAAAGGGUUGCAUAUGACAAUUUUUCUCAAAGAACAGUAAAUAAAUAAUUAAAAUGAGGCAUGUAUUAUUUUUUUUUUUUGAAAACAGGAACUGGGGCAUGAAAAAGCUAGAGCCAUGAGUUUGUUGAUAUAUAAUUCUUCCUUACUUAAGAGAGAGAGAGAGAAAGAGAGAGAGAAAGAUAGAGAGAGAAAUUUUGUUGAAAGGAUUUUCAACAAGAACAGCCAACAGCAAUCAUCAUGUCCUCCUCCUCCACCUUCUUCAGCCCUCUGACUCUUCACCAGCUUCAUGAUUACCCCACGACUCAUCUUAAUUCUACUCUUUUCCCUCUCUUUUUUUCACUUCACAUCCCAAUACCUCACCAUCUCAGAAAACAAACCAAACAAGAUCAAGAAGAAGAAGAAGAAGAAGAAGGAGAAGGAGAAGAAGAAGAAGAAGAAGAAGAAGAAGAAGAAGAAGAAGAAGAAGAAGACUUAAGGUAGCUAAUUUAUAAGGAAAAGGGUUAUGUACUGAUGAAAACCCUAGCUACCUUUUACAUGAUAAUUAAUAAUUAUCAAAAACCCUUCUCUUUUUUUCUUUCUUUUGUGAGUGAAAAGGGUUCUUUUUCUUCUAAACAAGGACCCAUCAAUACACUCCUCCUCGGGGAAUCAAGCGUCUCGGUCCGAUCGUCAUCAUCAUCAUCAUCAUCAUCAUCAUCAUCAUCAUCAUCAUCAUCAUCAUCAUCAUCUUUGUCUUCGUCUUCAUCCACACCAACCAAAUCAAUAUAUACACCAAGGUUUUUACUGCAAGGCAAAAGAAAAGUUUCGGCUAAUUUAUUAUAUUAGCAAUAUCUAGGUAGCUACAUUUCUGAUAUCUCAUUUUCAUCAUCUUAAUUAAUAUUAGUUCAAGUGCCUUAUGUUAGAAUGCUUAUUCAUUUAGGUUUCGUUUUGUUUUGUUUUCUUUAAUGGUUGUUUAAACACAGAAAAGCAGAUAUAUAUGUUGAAUGUAUGUGGACUCAUUCAUAUAUAUAUCUAUAUAUUCAUAUGAUAUAUCUGUGUUGUGAGUCAAGUACCAAAACAUUUUCAAACCCAUCUGAUCAUCAUCAUCAUCGAUAUAUCUCUCUUCAUUCAACUUCAACUCAUG
rnacentral:lncRNA from 1 species